UAGAGGCUCAUUGGGUUGGAAAUUUGGCGGAGAUCACUCACACUAUCCACCGGCCCAUUUCGGUACAAUUAUGAAACUAAUUUUGGUUAUAAUGGCAUGUGUAGGCUAACUUAGCCAUUGUUGGCAUUUUAAAUAUUUUGGUUGUAACAAGCCAUUGGUAUGACUUGUGUUUGGUACAUUUUAAAAUGUAUAUAUAUAUAUGGCCUUAACCAGUUUGAUGUGUGAAAUUGAAAUGGUUUAAUG
rnacentral:lncRNA from 1 species